GGGGGGGGGGGGGGGGGGGGGGGGGGGGGGGGGGGGGGGGGGGGGGGGGCGUGACCUUGGGAGGUGCCGGCGGCCGGGCCGAGCAGCGCGCCGGGAGCCGGUGCGGGGCGGGAGUGCGGUGAGAGGGAGCGGGUGUGCGUCCGUGUGUCCCUCUGCGUGUGCCCGCGGGUGUGUGUGUACGUGCGGGUGCGCGGCGCGGCGCGGCGGUCGGGUGGGGGGGGGGGGGGGGGGGGGGGGGGGGGGGGGGGGGGGGGGGGGGGGGGGGGGGGGGGGGGGGGGGGGUGCGCGGCGCGGCGCGGCGGUCGGGUGCUGCUCCCUGCCGGGAGCGCAGGGAAAAGAGGGAACGGGGCAGCCCGGCAGGGCAGCUCGGCCGUGCCGGAGGGUUCUGCAGCCAGGGCUUGGCACAGGUGCCAGGGCUUGGCAUAGGUGCCAGGGCUUGGAGGCGGAGAUCGGCGGAGUUGAAGAGACGAGCUAUGGUGGGGCUUCAGCAGAACGGGGACGUCACCGCUCACUGCUCGCAGUAGCUCUGAACCCAGUGCUCCCUGCUCCUGCAGUGCAGAGUCAGACCACAUAGUGGGAAUGUGCAGG
rnacentral:lncRNA from 12 species